UAAGUAUUUCACCUUGGGUAGCUUUGGUUUUGGAGAUAUGAGGAGAAUUGCAGAAAUGGAAAAAAAUGGAUUUUUGCUUUGAUGUCCGGUUUCCGGCAAUUUCCGGCCGGAUUCUUUGGGGGUUUUGGUUGUUGGGGAAGUACUGAACGUAUUCCUAACCUUGUUGCUGCUCGUUUUGAUCGGUGGAAGAAGAUUUGAAGGUGUUUGAGACUGUGAACAGUACCGUGAACAGUAUAGGAACUGUUAGUUGUAGUCUAUGAAUUGUUGUGUUAGAUUUAAGGUUGUUGGUUAAUGAGUUUCCUUGGAGUUUGAUGUUGGUUGUGGUUCUAAGAGUGUUGAGAGGUUGA
rnacentral:lncRNA from 1 species